rnacentral:rRNA from 1 species
AAUCUACCUUCGAGUGGGGAAUAACUGAGAGAAAUCUUAGCUAAUACCGCAUAAUACCUACGGGUCAAAGCAGCAAUGCGCUUGAAGAGGAGUUCGCGGCAGAUUAGUUAGUUGGCGGGGUAAUGGCCCACCAAGACGAUGAUCUGUAUCCGGCCUGAGAGGGCGCACGGACACACUGGAACUGAAACACGGUCCAGACUCCUACGGGAGGCAGCAGUGGGGAAUUUUGCGCAAUGGGGGAAACCCUGACGCAGCAACGCCGCGUGGAG